rnacentral:lncRNA from 1 species
AGACCUUAUCUGCAAAUAAGGUCCUAUUCUCAGGUCCUGGGGGUUAGGACUCUAGCAUAGCUUUUGGAGUGGGAGGGGCUGGGGACACAGUUCUACCCGUAGCAGGGACGUGGCAGGGGUAAGCUGAGGGAAGUCUUUUACGAUCACCCAGAAGUUCAUGAAUUACUACAGUCUCCAGAUGGCUUUUACAACGUGUCCCGGGCCGUUAAGGAGGCAGAAAUGAAGCGAUUCCGCUGGUGUCAGAGGAAGAAGCCACCCUAUUCUCCCAGUGUCAGUGACAGCAAAAACGUGGCCCAUCUUUCCCUGGAGCCAUAGGAGCCUUUAUGACAAAACCUGGAGAAGUUCUUGAACUUGGGACUUUAUGGAAGAAGUGAAACGUUAGAUGACUGGACCCAUAUUGGAAAUGAAAACCAUAAUGGCCUGAAAAAAAAACCAAAAACACUACUGUGAAACACAGGGAAAUUAUAAAAUUAACUUCUAUUUUCUACUUGAUUAAAAAACUAGUGAAAACCUUCAAAGAG